UCUCCGUUGGUGAACCAGCGGAGGGAUCAUUACCGAGUUUUCUACUCCCAAACCCCUGUGAACUUAUACCUUCACCGUUGCUUCGGCGGGUUAACGCCCCGGAAAGGCCCCCGAAAGGGAGCCGCCCCGGAACCAGGCGCCCGCCGGGGGACCCAAACUCUUGUAUUUUCUUACCUAGCAUGUCUGAGUGGAAUCAUAAACAAAUGAAUCAAAACUUUCAACAACGGAUCUCUUGGUUCUG
rnacentral:misc_RNA from 1 species